AGAACGAACGCUUGCGGCAUGCUUAAAACAUGCAAGUCGAACGAGAAAGGGACUUCGGUCCUGAGUAAAGUGGCGCACGGGUGAGUAACACGUAGCUAACGUUCCUCUUCGCUGGGGAUAACUUCGGGAAACCGAAGCUAAUACCGAAUGAUCUAAUCGAAUCUUGGGAUUUGAUUGGUAAAGCUUUACAGCGCGAAGAGAUCGGGUUGCGUCCCAUUAGCUUGUUGGUAGGGUAUGGCCUACCAAGGCGACGAUGGGUAGCUGGUCUGAGAGGAUGAUCAGCCACACUGGAACUGAAACACGUCCAGACU
rnacentral:rRNA from 1 species